GUGCCUUCUUCAGCAGCCCAUAUACUAAAAUUAGAUUGAUACAGAGAAGAUUAGCAUGGCCCCUGCACAAGGAUGACAUGCAAAUUCAUAAAGUGUUCCAUAUUUUA
rnacentral:snRNA from 1 species